AGUGAACGCUGGCGGUAGGCCUAACACAUGCAAGUCGAACGGCAGCACAGUAAGAGCUUGCUCUUACGGGUGGCGAGUGGCGGACGGGUGAGGAAUACAUCGGAAUCUACUUUUUCGUGGGGGAUAACGUAGGGAAACUUACGCUAAUACCGCGUACGACCUACGGGUGAAAGCAGGGGAUCUUCGGACCUUGCGCGAUUGAAUGAGCCGAUGUCGGAUUAGCUAGUUGGCGGGGUAAAGGCCCACCAAGGCGACGAUCCGUAGCUGGUAUGAGAGGAUGAUCAGCCACACUGGAACUGAGACACGGUCCAGACUCCUACGGGAGGCAGCAGUGGGGAAUAUUGGACAAUGGGCGCAAGCCUGAUCCAGCCAUACCGCGUGGGUGAAGAAGGCCUUCGGGUUGUAAAGCCCUUUUGUUGGGAAAGAAAAGCAGCAGGUUAAUACCCCGCUGUUCUGACGGUACCCAAAGAAUAAGCACCGGCUAACUUCGUG
rnacentral:rRNA from 1 species